rnacentral:rRNA from 1 species
ACGCUGGCGGCGUGCUUAACACAUGCAAGUCGAGCGGUAAGGCCCUUCGGGGUACACGAGCGGCGAACGGGUGAGUAACACGUGAGCAACCUGCCCCUGACUCUGGGAUAAGCGGUGGAAACGCCGUCUAAUACCGGAUACGACCUUUCAGCUCAUGCUGGAGGGUGGAAAGUUUUAUCGGUCAGGGAUGGGCUCGCGGCCUAUCAGCUUGUUGGUGGGGUAAAGGCCUACCAAGGCGAUUACGGGUAGCCGGCCUGAGAGGGCGACCGGCCACACUGGGACUGAGACACGGCCCAGACUCCUGCGGGAGGCAGCAGUGGGGAAUAUUGCACAAUGGGCGAAAGCCUGAUGCAGCGACGCCGCGUGGGGGAUGACGGCCUUCGGGUUGUAAACCUCUUUUACCACCAACGCAGGCUCCACGUUCUCGUGGGGUUGACGGUAGGUGGGGAAUAAGGACCGGCUAACUACGUGCCAGCAGCCGCGGUAAUACGUAGGGUCCGAGCGUUGUCCGGAAUUAUUGGGCGUAAAGAGCUCGUAGGCGGCGUGUCACGUCUGCUGUGAAAGACCGGGGCUUAACUCCGGUUCUGCAGUGGAUACGGG